UACAGAGGUCUCAAGCGUUGUUCGGAUUCAUUGGGCGUAAAGGGUGCGUAGGUGGCGGGGUAAGUCAGGUGUGAAAUCUCGGGGCUCAACCCCGAAACUGCACUUGAUACUGCCUUGCUCGAGUACUGGAGAGGAGAUUGGAAUUUACGGUGUAGCAGUGAAAUGCGUAGAUAUCGUAAGGAAGACCAGUGGCGAAGGCGAAUCUCUGGACAGUUACUGACACUGAGGCACGAAGGCCAGGGGAGCAAACGG
rnacentral:rRNA from 1 species